GCUUACAGCCAUACCAGCCCAAGAACGCCCGGUCUCGUCUUAUCUCGGAAGCUAAGAAGGCUUGGGCCUGGUUAGUACUUGGAUUGAAGACCUCCUGGCAAUACCAGGUGCUGUAAGCU
ensembl:rRNA 5S_rRNA 5S ribosomal RNA